UACGUAGGGACCAAGCGUUGUUCGGAUUUACUGGGCGUAAAGGGCGCGUAGGCGGCAUAUUAAGUCAGCUGUGAAAUCUCCGAGCUUAACUCGGAACUGUCAGCUGAUACUGAUGUGCUAGAGUGCAGAAGGGGCAAUCGGAAUUCUUGGUGUAGCGGUGAAAUGCGUAGAUAUGAAGAGGAACACCUGAGGUGAAGACGGGUUGCUGGGCUGACACUGACGCUGAUAGCGCGAAAGCCAGGGGAGCAAACGGG
rnacentral:rRNA from 1 species